rnacentral:rRNA from 1 species
UACGAAGGGGGCUAGCGUUGUUCGGAAUCACUGGGCGUAAAGGGCGCGUAGGCGGCUUUGUAAGUCGGGGGUGAAAGCCUGUGGCUCAACCACAGAACUGCCUUCGAUACUGCAUGGCUUGAGACCGGAAGAGGUUAGUGGAACUGCGAGUGUAGAGGUGAAAUUCGUAGAUAUUCGCAAGAACACCAGUGGCGAAGGCGGCUGACUGGUCCGGUUCUGACGCUGAGGCGCGAAAGCGUGGGGAGCAAACAGG